GGUACCGCCUGCCCAGUGACUCUUUAAACGGCCGCGGUAUCCUAACCGUGCAAAGGUAGCAUAAUCACUUGUCCCCUAAAUAGGGACUAGAAUGAAUGGCUAAAUGAGGACUAAACUGUCUCUUAUAGGCUGACCAAUGAAAUUGAUUUUCCAGUACAAAAGCUGGAAUAAACACAUAAGACGAGAAGACCCUGUGGAGCUUCAAAACCAAAAGCACCAAAUAUGCUUCCUUGAAUUUUUAGUUGGGGCGACUUCGGAGCACAAAAAAACCUCCGAAACAUGACAAUUAACCUAAUCAAGAUUAACACAUCAAAACAAACACAUGAGACCCAGCAGCCACCAAAUCAACGCUGUCUGACCAAUGAACCAAGUUACCCCAGGGAUAACAGCGCCAUCCCCUUCUAGAGUCCCUAUCGACAAGGGGGUUUACGACCUCGAUGUUGGAUCAGGACACCCCAAUGGUGCAGCCGCCUUUAAAGGUUCGUUUGUUCAACGAUUAAAGUCCUA
rnacentral:rRNA from 1 species